UGCAAGUGUGAGCCACUGACACCCAGCUCAUGGGUUUUGUUUUGUGCACACACACGUGUAUGUCUACAUGUGGGCAUGCACACCCAUGAGCUUGCUGAGGAUUAAAACCAGGGCUUCAUGCAUGUUAAACAUAGGCUCUGUCACACAGCUACAACAGUAGCCAACAAUUCAUUAGGAUUUCUGUUUGCUUUUUUUUUUUUUUGGUAGUUUAGUGGAAGUAAGAGUCUCACAUGUUUUCCUGCCCGGGCUGGCUUUGAAUACUUAUCCUCUGACUUCAGCCAACUUAUUAGCUAGGAUUACAGACAUGAUGUCUUCUAACACAAUUAAACACUUUAAGGUUUUGAAACAACAUAGAAAUGAAUCUU